CUCACCCCUUCUGCCAUGUGGGGAUAUGAGAAGUGAGCAGUCUGAAACCUGGAAGAGGGUCUUCACCAGACAUUGACUCUGUCGGUACCUUGAUCUUGGACUUCCCGGCCUCCAGAGCCGUGAAUAAGAAAUUUCUGUGAUUUACGUGGUACUCAGUCUAUGAUAGUUUGUUACAGUAGCCUGAACGGACUAAGACACCAGGAAAUAAGAAGGAUUGUUGUCCUCCUAAAGAGUUGAGUACAUCUAUUUUGGAUACCGAAAGGCUUGUUUUCCUUCCUUCUACAUCUAUGGUCACCUUCUAACAUAUAUAAAAUCCUGGUGUGAAGGUCAUCUGUAACCUUGAUAGAGUGAUAUAUGUAGAGCAAUGGAGAUGAACGCUCACAGGAGAAUGAAAGAGAAGCCUGAAGACAGUCUCAUCUCUGGAUUUUCUGGUUAAGAACAGAUUCUUUUUUAACGAAGCUAUUUUGAAUUGGGUUUCUGUCUUGUGAUAGCAAAAGACAUCCAAUUAAUUUUUAAAGAAAGACACCAGGCUGAUUUCCAGUGUAACAGGUAUAAACAAUGAUAUGCUGGGCUUACAGAAAAAAACCUUUACAGGACUACAACAUAGAAAAACUCUGGUCACAGAAAGAAUUGCUUUUUCAUCAGAAUUGCUUAUCUUGUUUAUUAGUCCCAUUAUUGAAGUAUGCAACUUGGUAUUUGAACAAUUUGUCCCCCAUAUAGGUUUUGUUAAUGCUAUAUUAUAAAUCUCUCAGAGUUGUGACCAUUUUUUCUGUGUUUGGUUCAGUAAUAUCAUAUGAUUUAACUUCUGCAAUUCUGUAAGUAGUAAGCUAAUUGCUGACAAAAUAUGCAAAACUUUGUUUUAUGCUAUUUUAUAUUUCACAGCAAUAUCCCUGUUAACAUCUGUCAAAAAAGUGCUAUGGAAACUGAAACAUAACACACCAUAUUAUACAUGCAGAUUUAACAUUUUGCUUAGUAUUUUUUCUAGUGGAAGUUUUGUGCAUAUGUUCAGUUUUAUAUUCUUCUGUAUUUCAAUGUCUUAAUUUUCUUUUCAAUAAAAGAAGAAGUUACUUAAUAUGUUAACACUACACCAUCACACACAGGGAAUUUCUUUCAGAUUUAAAAAUAUUUUGGCAGUAUCAUUUUAGAAAAUAGAGUAUAUAGAAAAACACAGUUAAAGGAAAUAAUAUUCUAGAACACACUUUCACAUAUCUGGAAUUUAGAAAAAGAAGCUUUGAAUAUUAAAAAUUCAUAAUUAUCUAGAAAAUAUUUGGAUUAUUAAGAAGAUUGUGUCACUCAGAAAAGGACCACAAGUCCUUUAAUAGGCAAGAUGACCUUUAACCUUUAGGCUUUUAUUGAAAUUACUACGUAGUGAUAUAAGAAUCAGAGUAACAACCUUUGAUAUUUCACUUUAAAAUAAGAAGCAGGUAGAAGAGGGUAAACAAAUUAGAUUUAUAGAAAAAUCAUUUAAAAUUAUUUAAUUGAGUGCAUUAAGUGAUUUAACCUGAGAUAUUUAUCGAUCACUGAGUUGAGCUGUUAACGGAUUAGGUGUUAACACUGCACUUUUCAGCAAAGGUCAAAACUGCCAUGCUGCAGGUCACUUCAGCCAGUUUUAGAUCUUUUUGGAAGACGAGAAAAUGAAGCUGGCGGAAUGGUCUGGAUUGGAUUACCCAUCUGGUGAGUCACAAAGCAUACCACAUAGACUAUUUAUUGUACUGCCAUGCAGUAUUUUUAAAAUUAGCAAGAUUACAAUUUUGCUUCAAAAAUAUUAAAUCACAGUUGUUCGAACACUAUCUCUUGAUUUUCAGGAAAAAAAAAUCUAUUCUAUUGCAUUGCACUUAAAUUGUGGUUUAAACUGCUUGAUGCCUUAUUUUAUUUUUCCUAAGUGGUUUCAUACCUAUUUUUAAUUUUCUCUAAAGAUUCAAUUCUGGUUCUUCAGAGCAGAAACCUUGCCUUCUAUGCACUCAUAUAACACACAGAGGGCAAUAAGCCAUGCUUUUAACACAAUAUUAAAAAUCUCCUUGUAAAUAUUGGGUAGUAGGCAGAAUCCUAAGAUGGCCCCUAGAUUCCCACCCAUUGGUAUAUAUGAUCUGUGUGACUCCCAAGCAGACAGGACCUGUGGAUAUGAUGGGCUAUCUGUCUCUUGAUUAGUUUGUGCUGAAAAAAGGCUCUGUUGUAACAGAUGGCAGGGAGAUUCUCCUGCUGGCUUUAGGGAAGUUGCUAAAUUUUGACAGGGCCUCGUGCCUAGGAGCGAGUGUUGCCUCUAGAAGCUGAGAGCAGUCCCUGGGGACCUCAGUCCUACAGCUACAAGGGACUGAAUUCUGCCAACAACCUGGAUGAGCUUGGAAGAGGACCCUGAGCCCCAGGUGGGAACGCAGCCCAGGCCAAUAUCUUGGUUGCAUCCAUGUUAGACCCUGAGCAGAGAACCCAGUGACACUGUGUCUGGACGUCUGACCUACAGAUACCAUGAGACAAUGAUACAACAGUAGGCCUCACGUGAUUAACCUCAAAAUAAGCUAUCAAGACAGUAAUUGUAAUGGAAACAUGGCAAAUGGAAGCUGACUUCCAGUGUGUUAAGGCAACAUUCUGUAAGUGCUGCCUACCUGAGCCACUUCUCCAUUUACACCUGUGUUUUCUUAGUUCAGAUAUAUAUCUUAAAAAAUUCCUGAAAGAAUUCUUCAUUCCCAAGAAUCCAUAAUGAAAAUAAAACAUUUUUUAUAAAUGACUGAUUUUAUAAAAUGACCUAUGUGCCAUUAAAUACUUUCCCAAUGUAUUUGCAUAUUUUCUUGACUAUAAUAAUAUGUUUUACCAGGUUUGUUCUUGAAAUUGGGGUGCAAUGCCUUGAACUGAUGUCGGAAAAAACUUGCUCCCUGAAGGCAGAGAACUGAGUGGUUUUGUAGCUGUCAUUGCCUGCACAUGGGCAAACUUAGCCUUGUAGGUAUUUUAUAUUUAUACAGUUGUCAGCCCAUUUGAGUU
ensembl:lncRNA